rnacentral:rRNA from 1 species
CCUACGGGGGGCAGCAGUAGGGAAUAUUGCUCAAUGGGGGAAACCCUGAAGCAGCAACGCCGCGUGGAGGAUGAAGGUUUUAGGAUUGUAAACUCCUUUUGUUAGAGAAGAUUAUGACGUUAUCUAACGAAUAAGCACCGGCUAACUCCGUACCAGCAGCCGCGGUAAUACGGAGGGUGCAAGCGUUACUCGGAAUCACCGGGCGUAAAGAGUGCGUAGGCGGGGUAAUAAGUCAGAUGUGAAAUCCUGUAGCUUAACUACAGAAUUGCAUUGGAAACUGGUACUCUGGAGUGUGGGAGAGGUAGGUGGAAUUCUUGGUGUAGGGGUAAAAUCCGUAGAGAUCAAGAGGAAUACUCAUUGCGAAGGCGACCUGCUGGAACAUUACUGACGCUGAGGCUCGAAGGUGCGGGUAUCAAACAGGAUUAGAUACCCCUGUAGUC